rnacentral:rRNA from 1 species
UGGGGAAUAUUGGACAAUGGGCGCAAGCCUGAUCCAGCAAUGCCGCGUGCGUGAAGAAGGCCUUAGGGUUGUAAAGCGCUUUCGCCCGCGAAGAUGAUGACGGUAGCGGGAGAAGAAGCCCCGGCUAACUCCGUGCCAGCAGCCGCGGUAAUACGGAGGGGGCUAGCGUUGUUCGGAAUUACUGGGCGUAAAGGGCGCGUAGGCGGCCCGUCGAGUCGGAUGUGAAAGCCCCGGGCUCAACCCGGGAUGUGCAUUCGAUACUGGCGGGCUGGAGUCCGGGAGAGGAUGGCGGAAUUCCCAGUGUAGAGGUGAAAUUCGUAGAUAUUGGGAAGAACACCGGUGGCGAAGGCGGCCAUCUGGACCGGUACUGACGCUGAGGCGCGAAAGCGUGGGGAGCAAACAGG